rnacentral:rRNA from 1 species
UACGUAGGUGGCAAGCGUUGUCCGGAUUUACUGGGCGUAAAGAGCGCGCAGGCGGUCGUUCAAGUCGCGUGUGAAAGCCCCCCGGCUCAACUGGGGAGGGUCACGCGAUACUGAUCGACUCGAAGGCAGGAGAGGGUAGUGGAAUUCCCGGUGUAGUGGUGAAAUGCGUAGAGAUCGGGGGGAACACCCGUGGCGAAGGCGGCCAGCUGGGCCGUCCCUGACACUGAGGCGCGAAGGCGUGGGGAGCGAACGGG